rnacentral:misc_RNA from 1 species
CCUUCGGACCAAAAUUACCAAAAUUGUUAUAUGGCUUGUGUGGGGCGAGGGGCACAACGUGAAUCCGUAAUAGGCCAUGGCGGGUGUCUUUUUAAGCAUCCAAACCAUACAACAAUUAGGGGGGAUUAUGCUAGCGGGUUUCGUUCUCUUCGUAUCGUGC